rnacentral:misc_RNA from 1 species
GAUGAAGAACGCAGCGAAAUGCGAUAAGUAAUGUGAAUUGCAGAAUUCAGUGAAUCAUCGAAUCUUUGAACGCACCUUGCGCCCUUUGGCCAUUCCGAAGGGCAUGCCUGUUUGAGUAUCAUGAACACCUCAACUCUUCAUGGUUUUCCAUGAUGAGCUUGGACUUUGGGGGUCUUGCUGGCCUGUGGGUCGGCUCCUCUCAAAUGAAUCAGCUUGCCGGUUUUUGGUGGGCAUCACAGGUGUGAUAACUAUCUACGCUUGUGGUUUUCCACCAGGGUAACCUUCAGCAGUGGAGGUUCACUGGAGCUUACAAAUGUCUCUCCUCUGUGAGGACAGCCCUUUGAAUGUUUGAUCUCAAAUCAGGUAGGGAUACCCGCUGAACUUAAGCAUAUCAAUAAGCGGAGGA